GCCGUUCUGCAUGGAUAUUGGGGGGUUACGUUCGGAACGGACGCUAAUACCGCAUACGUCCUACGGGAGAAAGCAUGGGGACCUUCGGGCCUUGCGCUAUCAGAUGAGCCUAGGUCGGAUUAGCUAGUUGGUGAGGUAAUGGCUCACCAAGGCUACGAUCCAUAACUGGUCUGAGAGGAUGAUCAGUCACACUGGAACUGAGACACGGUCCAGACUCCUACGGGAGGCAGCAGUGGGGAAUAUUGGACAAUGGGCGAAAGCCUGAUCCAGCCAUGCCGCGUGUGUGAAGAAGGUCUUCGGAUUGUAAAGCACUUUAAGUUGGGAGGAAGGGCAUUAACCUAAUACGUUAGUGUUUUGACGUUACCGACAGAAUAAGCACCGGCUAACUCUGUGCCAGCAGCCGCGGUAAUGCAGAGGGUGCAAGCGUUAAUCGGAAUUACUGGGCGUAAAGCGCGCGUAGGUGGUUUGUUAAGUUGAAUGUGAAAUCCCCGGGCUCAACCUGGGAACUGCAUCCAAAACUGGCAAGCUAGAGUAUGGUAGAGGGUAGUGGAAUUUCCUGUGUAACCGGUGAAAUGCGUAGAUAUAGGAAGGAACACCAGUGGCGAAGGCGACUACCUGGACUGAUACUGACAC
rnacentral:rRNA from 1 species